AACCCGCUGGUUGCCUUCCAAAAGGUGGAAGCAGUGGUCUUUCGCAAUAAAUCUUCCUGCUGCUCACUCUUUGGGUCCACACUGCCUUUAUGAGGUGUAACACUCGCCACGAAGGUCUGCAGCUUCACUCCUGAAGCCAGCGAGACCACGAACCCACCGGGAGGAACGAACAACUCCAGACGUGCCGCCUUGAGAGCUGUAACACUCACCUCGAAGGUCCACAGCUUCACUCCUGAGCCAGCGAGACCACAAACCCACCAGAAGGAAGAAACUCCGUACACAUCUGAACAUCAGAAGGAACAAACUCCGGACACGCUGCCUUUGAGAACUGUAACACUCACCGCGAGGGUCCGCGGCUUCAUUCUUGAAGUCAGACCAAGAACCCACCAAUUCCGGACACACUCUAACAAUAAUAAAAUUUGUUAUUGUCACGGUAAUCCUCACAAUGACUUAGCACCAUUCAUUUUAAUAUAUGUUUUACUACAUAUCUUCUGGAGCUAGACUUUCAACAAAUGUCUUUACUAUUAACAAGAAGGACAACUUAAGUACAUGUAAAUUUUUUUAAAAGAGCUUUUUUUGUAUUUAAAAAAAAAUCCCUUUCUAACUUUCUUUAUGCCAUUUUCCCAACUCGUAAGUAUUCAGAUCCCUGGUGCUACUUCAAGCCUCUCACUAAAUUUUUUUUUUUUUUCAGAUGGAGUCUUGCUCCGUUGCCCAGGCUGGAGUACAGUGGCGUGAUCUCGGCUCACUGCAACCUCCGCCCUCUGGGUUCAAGCAAUUCUCCAGCCUCAGUCUCCCGAGUAGCUGGGAUUACAAGUGUGUGCAACUACGCCCAGCUAUUUUUUUGUAUUUUUAGUAGAGAUGGGUUUCACCAUGUUGGCUAGGCUGGUCUCUAGCUCCUGACCUCCGGUGGUCUGCCCGCUUCGUCCUCCCAAAGUGCUGGGAUUACAGGCAUGAGCCAUUGUGCCUGGUCUCUCACUAAAGCUUUCUGAAGAAGUCCCUCCCCAAACACUAGCCUCUAGUGUUUCAAAUGAUCUCCUUUAUUCCUUUUCUCACAUCAGUAGAAGCCCCCAUUCUUUCAAAGAGUUGGUUUCAACUAGAUAUUACAAAAAAAUUCAUUUAUUGAACUGAUUCAUGUGAACGUAUGAAUGAGUCUUGGCUCCUUAACCUCAUUUGUGGUUGCAUCAGAAAGAGAAGGAAGCUGUACAAACAAAAAUAUGUUUCAUUGAUAAACUUUUGGAGAUAUAGCUCAAAAGAAAAAAACACAUUUUCAAAGAGAAAUCUUGGGUGAGAGCAAGGAGGGUCACCUUGAAUCAAGCUGGGAAAUCUGUCCCUCCCCUGUAGUAUCAAACCCUUAAACACUUUCCACUUUUCAAAUUUAAUAAUAACUAUUUCUAAACCUGCAGCUUGUUUUUCUAAACAGCUAUGAAUGUUUGGUUGUUUUUUAUAAACGGACUCCCACUAGGCAGCCCCAGGAGGUUUCAGAGGUAAAGCAAAGAGAUGAAAGACCAGAGCCAUUUGUGUGCUUGUGUUGCUUGCAAAGCAGGUGUUGAUAUGCCAAGAAACCCUGCUCAAAAGCUAUGUAACAUAGCAGUAUAAUAAACUUAGGAACAGGGUAUGCUAUAGAAAGCAAAGGCACCAUCUAGCAUUUCUGGGUUCACACAGUGUAUGCAGCAUUUUUUUAAGCUGCUCACUUAAAGAUUUCUGGUUUCUGGAAAACGUAUUGAUUCACCCACCAUAACUGCUAGGUUAUCUAUGAUUUUGCUAGAAAAAGAAGAAACUAAACAUCAGUUAGUAGAGACAAUUCAUGAAUUUUGUAAAGUUACAAAAAAUAAUAAUUGAUACUAUAAAAAUAUGGUAAAUGGAUAUUAUUACUAGCUCACACGCAAUUUGCUUAGUAAAUUGGCUUUCAAUAGGAGUCUCAACUAAAAGGGGAAAUGCCAGGAUUGAAUAUGACUACAGUUUAACAGUUGCUUUCUUUAAUUUUUUUUGUCUCUGAAGAGCAACUAUACCAGUGAAUUGUUGAAGCCCUGUUAAUUUGCUUGGCCAAAUGUGCAUCCUUAACCAUCUAAUCCAAAAAUAGUCAACUGGUAAAAAAACAGACGACUUUUAACAGACUGGCAUUUUGAGCUGGUGUACAAAGGUGGACAGAUUACAGCAAUUCAUUUAAAUUUCCUGGUUCCAUGCACAUGUUAAUAGUGACUCAGAAACACCCUCUGAUACUCAGUGUGUCAGUCACACCGGGAUUCAUUCACUGAGUUCCGGGAGCAAGGCAGCUUUUCAAGGCUGGGCACUAAACAGGGGGAGCUUUGUGAGUGCCUAGACUCCUCUGCCGGCCACCUGCUCUUCCUCUCCUUGGCUUCCACGAAGAAAGCUGCAUGAGAGCAGGGAAUUGCUUUGUCCAAUGCUAAUCACUAAAGCUUAGAAUACUGCUUGUUACAUGGGCCAGAAGUCAAGAAUAGGAGAGCAGCAGAAAACCACUAAAUAUGACAGCCAGCUUCACAUGGUUAGGUGGAAACAUCAUUGAUGCAGGAUUUUUCUUUGUCUCCUUACCAGUUGGGGACCUCUGGCUGGUGAUGUUACCUGCCACAGGAUGUGCCCUGCCCAAUCAGCUUGCCAAGUCUAGCUUGUGCACUGGUUCCUGAGUUCUUGUCCUGUGCCCAAGAAGAAUGAGGAUGUGCUGACCAUUGAAGGAGUCUUGUUCUGUUGACCAGGCUGGAAUGCUGUGGUGUGAUCUCGCCUCAUUUCAACCUCCACCUCCCAGGUUCAAGCGAUUCUCCUGCCUCAGCCUCCCGAGUAGCUGAGACUACAGAGCCACCUCUUAGUUGGACUAUUUCACUGCAACAGUCCCCUUCAGCUGGUGAGUCUCU
rnacentral:lncRNA from 1 species